UGGAUCGAAACACUUCACACUCUGGUGAAAGUUGGAAACCGCAAAAGAAUAGGAUUCCACUUGCAAAAGGCAAGAUCAUGGAAGCACUUCAUCGACUCAAGCAUGCCAUCUCGUAUUUGCUGCUGUGGGGUCCUCUUCACAAAUAAAGGAAGCUUCAAAUACCAUGUGACAACAAAACACAUUGCGUAUAGACACUGCAAUAUGUUAAAAUAUUGCAAGACUCUUGAUUCAAAGUAAGUUUUUGGUAAAUACUU